rnacentral:rRNA from 1 species
GAUGAACGCUGGCGGCGUGCUUAACACAUGCAAGUCGAACGAUGAUGCCCAGCUUGCUGGGUGGAUUAGUGGCGAACGGGUGAGUAACACGUGAGUAACCUGCCCUUGACUCUGGGAUAAGCCUGGGAAACUGGGUCUAAUACCGGAUACGACCAUCUGGCGCAUGUCAUGGUGGUGGAAAGCUUUUGUGGUUUUGGAUGGACUCGCGGCCUAUCAGCUUGUUGGUGGGGUAAUGGCCUACCAAGGCGACGACGGGUAGCCGGCCUGAGAGGGUGACCGGCCACACUGGGACUGAGACACGGCCCAGACUCCUACGGGAGGCAGCAGUGGGGAAUAUUGCACAAUGGGCGCAAGCCUGAUGCAGCGACGCCGCGUGAGGGAUGACGGCCUUCGGGUUGUAAACCUCUUUCAGUAGGGAAGAAGCGAAAGUGACGGUACCUGCAGAAGAAGCGCCGGCUAACCACGUG